rnacentral:rRNA from 1 species
GACAGAGGGUGCAAACGUUGUUCGGAAUUACUGGGCGUAAAGCGUGUGUAGGCGGCCAUGUAAGUCGGAUGUGAAAGCCCCCGGGCUUAACCCGGGAAGUGCAUUCGAUACUGCGUGGCUUGAGUAUCGGAGAGGUUGGUGGAAUUCUCGGUGUAGAGGUGAAAUUCGUAGAUAUCGAGAGGAACACCGGUGGCGAAGGCGGCCAACUGGACGAAUACUGACGCUGAGACACGAAAGCGUGGGGAGCAAACAGG